rnacentral:rRNA from 1 species
UACGGGGGAUGCAAGCGUUGUCCGGAAUCAUUGGGCGUAAAGAGUUCGUAGGUGGCAUGUUAAGUCUGGUGUUAAAUGCAGGGGCUCAACUUCUGUUCGGCACUGGAUACUGGCAAGCUUGAAUGCUGUAGAGGUAAAGGGAAUUCCUGGUGUAGCGGUGAAAUGCGUAGAUAUCAGGAGGAACAUCGGUGGCGAAAGCGCUUUACUGGGCAGUAAUUGACACUGAGGAACGAAAGCCAGGGUAGCAAAU